CGUCGUCGUCGUCGUCGUCGUCGUCUUCGUCGUCUUCGUCGAGUCUACGCCCGGUCGCAGGUGAGGAGGAGCGCAGGCAAGGUGGAGGCCCACGACGCGGGGGUGAUCGUUCGAAACUGGACCGACGAUCAAGGUAAGAGUGGCCAAAGAGAUAUGUAAAGCAGACUACAACGUAACCUUCACGAGUAGGUAACGUAGAUCUUCAAAUUAUCAACUAACAAUAGUGUCCAAUUUUUUUUCUCAAAAAAAAAGUUAUUUUAUUCAGGAUACGUAAAAUAUUUGUAUUUUAUAGCCUAAAGAUAAAUUUUCCUUAUAGUUUGUAUAUAUAAAUUUUUUGAAAUAGAAAUCGUAGAACGCAUCUUUUUAUUAAAAUGGUCAAAUACAAUUUUUUUGAAUGCACUUUUUUUUUAACAAAUUCACAAUUUACACGUAUCAAUAUUCAUUCUCAUUAACAAAUAUGAAUUUCGCGAUUCAAAAAUAAAAUAUGACAUGCAUCAACGCAUCAAAUUAUAUUUUCGCAUAACAUUCCACGUUCGUUUUCUGGGUUCAUAUUUUUUAAACAAUAAUUUGUUACAUUUAUCACAUUACCGACAGAGUUGAAGAGCGAUUUUGCCUUCGCUGUCAGUUCCUUCGAUGGCGCCACCAAAUCCUACUGCGCGAAUUGUUCGUCAGUUAUCGACCUUUGUACAGGUCUUUUCAAUUUCUUCCGGCGUUCUGCACGCGCACGCCCUCAUGUCACGAGAUAAUAAGGCUGAUAUAAAUCUCUCAGUCGCAUGCGAAGGACUAAUUAAAUCGGUGCUCGAAAGCCGUAGCACUGUAAUAUUCGUGGUAAAGGAAAUUUACGCAAAAAAAAUUUUACACACGCAUCGUUACUUUGACAAGAGUUUCUUGCAAUAUUAUUUUGAAUGACUUUUUAAGCGUAUUUUUAUCAUUCUUAUAAUUCGUUAAUUCCUCCGUUAAUUCUUAAAAACCAUAAAAUCUUAUUUACGACGUAAAAAGAACCUCUUAAAAGUAUUAAACGUUACAGAGAGACAUAUUUUGUAAACUUGCUUACAAAUCAUAAGAUGUUAUAAUUUUUUUAAAAACAAUAAAUUAGGAAUACGUAUAUAAUUACGUACAAAGGAAUAAGCUGUUCUUUUUUACAAUGCAAUUUACAUGAAUGACAAUGUUAUACAUAUUGCAACUUGGAGUGAAUGGAACUAGAAACCGAAUCGGAUUACAGCUAAAAACUUACGCUUUGGAGAAAGUAUAGUGAUUGAAUAAGACUAACUGCUUCCUGGACACCAGGAGAGCACUUAUAGCAAAUCGCCGUAAGCGAUAGUGAGUCAAAGUGUAUGACAAUGUAAUACAAAAUUCAAAUCGUCCGCAGAGCGGAUUGAUAAUUCGCCAUUUUCGAAUGCUCUCGGUUAAUUUUAUCGGUUUUAUCAAAGAACGCGGGAUCCCGAUAAUUUUUAGUCAUGAUAGAAGGCUUUGUGCGUUUAAAUUUAACGCCGAACUGCGCGAGUUUUCCAUCCGGCCCGGCCCUCAUGCCGUUAUACAUCGGCAAAAUUAAACGUAUUAAAUUAUUAAUAUCCUUCGGCGUGGGGGAUGCAAGAGGGUUGAUGCUCCAUCCAAUCCGGGAGGCGAAUUGGCCCCCCCCUCUUGGCGGAACGCCGGUCGUCCCCUUUCCGCACGCAGCACCCCGUCGUCGCGCCGGGUUCACCCGACCGACGAGAGACGGCAUGUGACGCUCAGCUGUACGUUAAAUCCCGAAAUUAUUGCGGUUCGAUGUACUCUCGGAGCGUGCGCGUGCUCAAGAUGAUUGUGCCUGCACGGUCGUCGUCGUCGCAUAAAGCGCGAAGCGACGACCCGGAGAGACGAGCUUGACCCACGUGACUCUAACGAACGGGAGGAGAUGAGUCGGGAUCUCAAAAAACACAAGCGGGCGAUUGUCAGUCGCAGGGGUUCAGGGGAAUUAUCAAUCCCUAGCGAAGCGAAGGGCUGAAUUAGCGCGAGACUGUAGCGACUCAGUGCAGAGCCCGAAUGCUGUGCGACGAAGACAGAACGAUAAAAAUUGGGGUUACUUGAGAACAACAUGCGAAGUGCAUCAGAAUUUGAAUUUUCAGGCUUUAGGUAUUGCGACUUAACCAUUUGAAAACGAGCUUUUUGGAGUUGAAUUUAAUUUUGACCUCAGAAUUCUAAAAUUUGAAAUCUAAUAUGGCGGAUCGAAUUUAAAAAAAUAUCUCAUAUCAUCUCUAUACUUCAAUAUUUGAGGGAUUCCUGGGAUCGUCGAAUUUGAAUGUAAUCUGAAAAUAUCAAAAUUCGAAAAUAUAGUAACUUCCACUGGAGGAACUUGUGAGACUCAUAAUCAGAGUUUAGAAGUUAAUGUACUUUAUAGGCGUCUGUCCUACUCGGUUGGCAUACGCUUCAAAUAAAACGAUACUGUUUACUUGAUUUUACUUGAAUAUAUUUAUGUUGAAAAAUAAUUUUACCAUUUGUUUUAAAUUAUAAUAUUUUUAUUAGGAAGUUUAAGAUUAUAUUUGUUAAGAUCAUACUUGUGUCAUUAUUUUAUGAAAAAAUUAAUCGAAAAUUUAGAUUUUUUUUUUAAUGUUUUUAAAACAUAAAUUUAUUGUUAGCGAUAUUAAAAAUUUCCUGAAACUAAGUCUUACGAUAAUCAGAUUAAGUUUUGAAAUUCUAUCCGUUAUAUCAGCCUCACUAUUUUGAAUUUUUCUUUUAUUUCCGACCUCCGAGCAGUGAUCAUGUGACUUUUUCCCUAGGGCAGAAACAUGAAAAGUGAAAAAUUUCUCCCUUAACUUCAAUAGUAAAAAUUUUCGCUUUUAACAUUUCCGCUCAAGGGAAAAUAAAGUUACACGAUUGCACACCUAGGUUCAAAUAAAGCACAUUAUCAAAUUACCCCGUGGGUCAAGUUUCAUAAAAAUCCAGCAGUUUACAAAAUAAAGAGGGAUGGGCUCAGACGCACUCGUUUACAAAGGGUUAAUGAUACGUUUAUGAGCUGCAUACGCUUUCACGAUAAUUUUUAUAUUUAUGUGUUCUUUUUAAACGUUGUGAUUUUUAUGGUAAAUUUUUUUUUUUUUUUACUUGCGAGCAGAAGAGUAUUUGUCGACUGACGAGCCGUGGCCUUUUUUUUAACGCCUUAGAAAGUAAUCGACAGUUGGUUUUAAUAUUUACGAAACUUCCGUUACUUAUUUAUUACCCGCCUAGGCAUUGAACGGUUCUAGUUCCACAACUUUUUCUUUCCACGUUGCGUAGUUAACUCUACCGGAGCACUCUCACCCCCGAGUCAUGACAUCAAUAUUGCGCGAUGAAUUUCUGGUUUACGGGCCACGCAUGCCGCGGCUCGUCAUGGUAUUUGCCGUUAAAAAUAGCCUUCGCGUGCCAUAUGGGUCGGUAAAAGUGCACCGGUUCACAUGGUACCCGUGUCCUCCUUUCGUACGCUUUGCAGUAGACAUUUCUUUAAAGAAAAAGAAAGGAGAGAGAAAGAGAAAAAAGA